AACCGCUUCAACCGUCGAAAAGGUAGGAAUGCUGUCAGCGCUCGCUUCGCACAAACACCGGCGUGCGGAGCAGCGAAGACGGGAACAGAACACCGAGUCGAAGCACUUCAGUCUGCCGCUUUUGCCUUCAUGUGGCUCCCCCGUGCAGCAUCGCGACCAUAUGGCCGAGCGCUGCAGCUGUUCGAUGUCGCCUGAGGCCUGCUAGAAAACAGCGCAAGUUGGGCUGGUAAGCAGCGAAAUUGUUAUGCAAUUACUAUAUGGUGCCGGAUCGAUUCUCUUGAAUGGUGUUUGACUCAAUACAGGAUCUAUCUGGUGAUUGAUAGUGAUGUUAGGAUUGAGUAUUGUAUUUUACAGUUGGUGAAACAGUGCUUCAUUGAGGCAUUUGGCCCGUAGUCUGUUGUACUAACGAGUACCAAGAAAAGUGGCAUAGCGGAUAUAAGUACGGAUUAAGAGUUCAGACGUUAUUGUGAUCAGUGGUGAAACGAUAUAUAAGUCGAUCGGCAGUGCGAACACAGUAUGUGGCAGUGAGCUUUCGGUGUUGAAGGAAAGUCCUGGUGCAACAGCUACGGGCAAGUUGAGUGAGUUAUGCAACUAAGUUUUUAAGUAUCUGGAUACUGCAAGACCGUUAAGUGCCAAACAAACUAUUUCAGGAUACAGUAGGGGUACAGCCGCUAGACCAUACGUUCUUCAGAUACAGCCAAGACGUCCCCCGCGGGUACGAUUGCACCUCAUCAACCAUCAGCCGAACAUCGCUGGACCAACCUCAAAAGGGCGAUUGAAUAUCGUGUUUAUAUUGCCAGUUAACCCGCAAGUGGACAAGCUUAGGUUCGUCGUGGAUUCGCAGGAAUCAUCGCCACUCGUUCUGCGCUUGUGUAGCUGC